AUCUUCCUCCACCAUCUGCACGACAUAAUACUGCCGUUUUUCCCUUCAAAGGAUUUUAUUGAUUCCAAGUCAUGGGAAAGCAAAUGGGUUACAUGCACUAUUGGAUUGAGGAGGUUGCUCCAUCCUCUCUCGUAUUUCCUCGUAAGCCUUCGAAUGCGCCAAAACUCGAAACUAUUGCAGAAGAAGGAUCUGAUCAAAAGUUGAAUUUUGUCAACAAGAGGCUGUGUAGUUUUCUUCUCCCUAUCUUCAUUUCUUUGGGUUCCUAUCUUUUGAUAAACAGAUAUAAUGUUAUUAUCUGAUUGGAAGAACUCAAAGACUCUCAUCCCGUUCUUGAAGGGUGUAUCUUGUAAGAUUAUGAGCAAGUUGGGCACUGUUUCUUUGUAAACGAGUUUUGAAGUUGAGUUCUAUCCCAUGUGAUUACGAUGAAGAUAUUAGAUCUGUAAAGAUGGAGUCAAUGGCAACAAGGAGAUGAACCACACGUACCAUUGGCUUUUCAAGAACAUAGCUAAAGGAACUGGGAUGCAAUCACGUCAUCAUAACAGAGAAAUUCCCAACCUUUAUAUUUCUUUCUUUUCAAUAAAGGAGAAGACGAAUUCUGAAAUACUCUUUAGAUGCAAUCAUGAAGUUAUUUUGUAGUUGGUUAAUUAUGU
rnacentral:lncRNA from 1 species